UCCCUGGUGGCUUAAAUGGUAAAGAAUCCAUCUGCAAUGUGGGAGACCUGGGUUCAAUCCUUGCUUGGGAA
rnacentral:tRNA from 1 species